AUUGAACGCUGGCGGCAUGCUUUACACAUGCAAGUCGAACGGUAACAGGCCUUCGGGUGCUGACGAGUGGCGAACGGGUGAGUAAUGCAUCGGAACGUGCCCAGAGGUGGGGGAUAACGCAGCGAAAGCUGUGCUAAUACCGCAUGUGAUCUGAGGAUGAAAGCGGGGGACCAAGCAGCAAUGUUUGGCCUCGCGCCUCUGGAGCGGCCGAUGUCAGAUUAGGUAGUUGGUGGGGUAAAGGCCUACCAAGCCGACGAUCUGUAGCUGGUCUGAGAGGACGACCAGCCACACUGGGACUGAGACACGGCCCAGACUCCUACGGGAGGCAGCAGUGGGGAAUUUUGGACAAUGGGCGCAAGCCUGAUCCAGCAAUGCCGCGUGCGGGAAGAAGGCCUUCGGGUUGUAAACCGCUUUUGUACGGAACAAAAAGGCUCUGGCUAAUACCUGGGGCUGAUGACGGUACCGUAAGAAUAAGCACCGGCUAACUACGUG
rnacentral:rRNA from 1 species